rnacentral:rRNA from 1 species
GUAGGUGGCAAGCGUUGUCCGGAAUUAUUGGGCGUAAAGCGCGCGCAGGCGGUUCUUUAAGUCUGAUGUGAAAGCCCACGGCUCAACCGUGGAGGGUCAUCGGAAACUGGAGAACUUGAGUACAGAAGAGGAAAGCGGAAUUCCACGUGUAGCGGUGAAAUGCGUAGAGAUGUGGAGGAACACCAGUGGCGAAGGCGGCUUUCUGGUCUGUAACUGACGCUGAGGCGCGAAAGCGUGGGGGAGCAAACAGGAUUAGAUACCCUGGUAGUCCACGCCGUAAACGAUGAGUGCUAAGUGUUAGGGGGUUUCCGCCCCUUAGUGCUGCAGCUAACGCAUUAAGCACUCCGCCUGGGAGUACGGCCGCAAGGCUG